UAGGCAAAAGGCCACUUCGGUUCCGCUCCGAAAGGGACGGAUGAAAAGGGAACGCGGUGCGCCCCGGCAACGGGGCAAGUCCGCGGCUGCCCCCGCAACUGUAGGCGGAGAGCGCGGCUGAGAGGUGCCACUGGGCGCAAUGCCCCGGGAAGGCCAGCCAAGCGACGACCCGCAAGCCAGGAGACCUGCCGAGGCGAGAUCACCCUU
rnacentral:ncRNA from 2 species